rnacentral:snRNA from 1 species
AUCACUUCUUGGUCUUUGGCUAAGGUCAAGUAUAGUAUCUGCUAUUAUCUAAUAUGUCCUCUACCGAGGAUAAUAUAGUAAAUGGGUUUUUGGAACAGGGAGACAGAAUAGGAGCUUGUUCCAUCUGCUUCACUCCUUGAUUUGGUAUUGUAGUAUUUCCAGGAAUGAUGCACAGAGA